rnacentral:lncRNA from 1 species
UUUGGCCUUGUGACUAUUGUGUUCAUUCUGUAGUGCAAUUUUCAAUUGCACUUUAACUUGGUAUUCUCACCCGUGUGUUUAAUUUGUGUUAAAGCUCGCAUAUUCUCAAGGAAGUGGCUGGCUAGGUACUCCACUUUAUGUGUGGAAGACUUUCAUGGAGAUGGAUUCUAAAUUAUUUCACUUUAACGUGAAAAUUCAUAUUGAUUGCCUAACCAAUUUUAAUGUAUUGAUUCUUAAUGUAUUGAUUUUAAUGUAUCGAUUUAAUGCGGAAUCAUCAUAAUUACCUAAUGAACUUAAAAUAUGGACUUUAAAUAAACCAUACCGGACCUCUCUUUAUUACCCCACGAUUACGUAAUACGGUCAUGUCCCGCGAAUGUGGGGAUACACUUAGCAAUGGCCCUUCGAUUAAAUCAUCAUAAAAUAAAUCAUGGUCCCUCGGAUGUUGCCUUCGGAAAUACGAUUUUGUCCCUCGAUGACCCUUCGGUGUAGCCUACGGUUAAAUGAUGAUAGUCCCUUCGAAUGCUAAGGUAUCCUCACAACUGUUGCCUUCAAUGACCA